CCUGACUAACAGGCCACUCCUCUGCUGCGUUAGCAAUUAUGAUGGUAGCCCGCACUCAUACUCCCUCUCAGCGCACCUCCGUCGAUGAGUGUGGUCCAAGUCUACUGUGACCCCGCGCGUACCUGGCGAACCAAAGGUCCGAAGGGGUGCGGACCAACCAAGUGUCGUACGCCGUGCGCUUUGUCUUGCGAGCCAUGGAUGCUGCCGCUAGGAGCGAGAAGCUAUCCCGGCGUUGUCGUCCUCACCGCGCUCGGCAGCCACGCCCUCCGUCGAAGCUUCGUCCUGCUGCUCCGGCGCAGAGCCCUCUUUGAGCUCGGCCUCAGCCUCUUCACCCCCCCUCCCCCCCCCCCCCCCCCGCGUCGCGCUGGCCACGCCGAGCCGCUAGGGCCCCGCUAGCUGCCAUCCGCCUGCCCGCCGAGCCUUGCCUGCCCCGCUUCCGCUCCUCUGGGCUGCAACCCGCGCGGGCCAUGCCGCCGGCUGCAGUUUCGUCUAGCCGUCGAGCCACGGUGACCAUGCCGCCACUACCCCGCCCGGCCACGAGGAGCGAGGACAGCUAGGCCGGUACGCUCUCGGUCCCCGCGCUGAGCCGAGUGCUGCCGUCGGGUCAGGCGGAGCGUACUUGGGUUCCGCAAUGGCAACGUCGGCGCUGUCGAUGGGCGCGGCAACCGUGGCCACGGCAUCCAGUAUCACGGAGCGGUGCCCCUCGGCUGCCACCUGUGCCUCGUGUCCUUAUCUAUCUACUCAGUUCGGUUCAGAGACUCCUCGCUCCCUCUCCCAGUCCCAAUCCCUAGCCAGAUCUGAGGUGUCCUCUCUUUUAACACUUGAGCUGUUCCCUGUUCGAAACCUACUCCCCGUAUCGGUGGCGUGCUGCCGGUCAUAAUGGUGUUAGCGAUCUCAUACCACGAAAUACCACGAAAGGGGCUCUAUACGUGCUUCCUUGCAUCUAACGUCCGAAACCAGAGAGGAUCGUGAACAGGAGCAGCAGGAUUUAAACCUUUUCAGAAACUCUGAAUGUUUUUGAACAGCUGGUUACACAAGGGUGGUAGAGGUACUGCUGUGGAUAAAGUACCGUCUUUCUUGCAAUAUAUGUGCUCAUUAAGAGCUACCCUAGAUUUUGCUGCUAUGUGACCCAAGGUUUUGCUGCUGUGCGAGCAAACAAGCGGAAGCAAUCGAGAGAAGAAGAUAACGGUGUAGAUUUUGCUGCUGUGUGACCCUCCGCCUCUCCCCUGACGCCAUCGUGCUGUCCCUUCCUACAGCAGCCGUGAAACAACGGCUGGCGUCCUCGGCUUGCAAUUUCGGACGCGUCGACUUCCCCCAAAAAGUCGAGAUGGCUGCUUGUCAAAUCCAAAUCGCAGUAGAAACCAAGGGCGAUGUCUAUACCGUGCCGCAUCACGUCAGCGGAUUCGAGAGGCAGCGGACGGCGGCGCCGGCGGCUCCGGUGGCGUCAGCAUCCCGGAGACAGCGCAACUUGCCGGAGGCGGACGAAAGGACGGGACCGGCCCGAAUUUACCAAAUCGGGCUGUGACGCCAAGAACAGAGAGGAUGGAUCGAGUUCUCCAGACCAGACCCCCUGUUGGCUGCUGCUACUUGCUAUGCCCUUUCUUUCUUCCCCUUUGGGAAGACGCUUCGGUCUGUUAGCGUGAGGUCACUGCCUGCCGGAUUGUUCCAGCUAUCCGAGCAGAUAUUUCUCUCUAAUUACGUACACGGAUACUUCAGGAAGGCACCUCUCGAUCAA